AGGAGAGUUUGAUCCUGGCUCAGAACGAACGCCGGCGGCGCGUCUUAAGCAUGCAAGUCGUGCGGGAUUGUAGUGCUUGCACUACAUGAGAGCGGCGGACUGGCGAGCAACACGUGGGUGACGCACCCCCUUCUAACCGGGACAGCCGGCAGAAAUGCCGGGUGAUACCGGAUGAGCUCCCGCAUCCUGGAAGUGCGGGAGGAAAGGGGCUUCGGCCCCGCCGGGGGAGCGGCCCGCGGCCCAUCAGCUAGUUGGCGGGGAAAAGGCCCACCAAGGCGAUGACGGGUACCCGGACUGAGAGGUUGGCCGGGCACAUUGGGACUGAGAUACGGCCCAGACUCCUACGGGAGGCAGCAGCUAAGAAUAUUCCGCAAUGCGCGAAAGCGUGACGGAGCGACGCCGCGUGGGCGAUGGAGGCCGGAAGGUUGUAAAGCCCUUUAGCGCGCGAGGAAUAAGGCCGGGAGGGAAUGCCCGGCGGGUGACUGUAGCGCGAGAAUAAGCACCGGCUAAUUACGUGCCAGCAGCCGCGGUAACACGUAAGGUGCUAGCGUUGUUCGGAAUCAUUGGGCGUAAAGGGUAUGUAAGCGGCGCGCAAAGUCGGGCGUGAAAUCACGGGGCUCAACCCCGUGGCUGCGCCCGAUACUGGUGCGCUUGAGUCGGCGAAGCGGGACCGGAAUUCCUGGUGUAGGGGUGAAAUCUGUAGAUAUCAGGAAGAACACCGGUGGCGAAGGCAGGUCCCGGGCGCACGACUGACGUUGAGGUACGAAGGUGCGGGGAGCGAACAGGAUUAGAUACCCUGCCU
rnacentral:rRNA from 1 species